rnacentral:rRNA from 1 species
UACGUAGGGUGCAAGCGUUGUCCGGAAUUAUUGGGCGUAAAGAGCUUGUAGGCGGUUUGUCGCGUCUGCUGUGAAAUUUCGGGGCUCAACCCCGAACUUGCAGUGGGUACGGGCAGACUAGAGUGUGGUAGGGGAGACUGGAAUUCCUGGUGUAGCGGUGAAAUGCGCAGAUAUAAGGAGGAACACCGAUGGCGAAGGCAGGUCUCUGGGCCACUACUGACGCUGAGAAGCGAAAGCAUGGGGAGCGAACAGG